AAUGCCGGAUGCUCCAUCACACCGCAUGGUGUGUUGGGAAAGCCUUUGCGGCAUGGGAUGGGGUCGCGUCCUAUCAGCUUGAUGGCGGGGUAACGGCCCACCAUGGCUUCGACGGGUAGCCGGCCUGAGAGGGCGACCGGCCACAUUGGGACUGAGAUACGGCCCAGACUCCUACGGGAGGCAGCAGUGGGGAAUAUUGCACAAUGGGCGCAAGCCUGAUGCAGCGACGCCGCGUGAGGGAUGGAGGCCUUCGGGUUGUAAACCUCUUUUGUUAGGGAGCAAGGCAUUUUGUGUUGAGUGUACCUUUCGAAUAAGCACCGGCUAACUACGUGCCAGCAGCCGCGGUAAUACGUAGGGUGCAAGCGUUAUCCGGAAUUAUUGGGCGUAAAGGGCUCGUAGGCGGUUCGUCGCGUCCGGUGUGAAAGUCCAUCGCUUAACGGUGGAUCCGCGCCGGGUACGGGCGGGCUUGAGUGCGGUAGGGGAGACUGGAAUUCCCGGUGUAACGGUGGAAUGUGUAGAUAUCGGGAAGAAC
rnacentral:rRNA from 1 species